CUUAGUGCGGACGGGUGAGUAACGCGUGGGUAACCUGCCUUGCACUGGGGGAUAACACUUAGAAAUAGGUGCUAAUACCGCAUAAGCGCACGGUCCUGCAUGGGACAGUGUGAAAAACUCCGGUGGUGCAAGAUGGACCCGCGUCUGAUUAGCUGGUUGGCGGGGUAAAGGCCCACCAAGGCGACGAUCAGUAGCCGGCCUGAGAGGGUGGACGGCCACAUUGGGACUGAGACACGGCCCAAACUCCUACGGAAGGCAGCAG
rnacentral:rRNA from 1 species